rnacentral:rRNA from 1 species
GGGUCAGUAGGUUGGUCGUGCCACCGGUACGUACUGGUCUCACUGAUUCCUCCUUCCUGAAGAACCGUAAUGCCAUUAAUCUGGUGUUGCGGGGAAACAGGACUGUUACUUUGAAAAAGUUAGAGUGUUUAAAGCAAGCUAACGCUUGAAUACAUUAGCAUGGAAUAAUGAAAUAGGACGAUCGAUCCUAUUUUGUUGGUUUCUAGGAUUGACGUA